rnacentral:rRNA from 1 species
UGGGGAAUAUUGCACAAUGGGCGAAAGCCUGAUGCAGCAACGCCGCGUGAGCGAUGAAGGCCUUCGGGUCGUAAAGCUCUGUCCUCAAGGAAGAUAAUGACGGUACUUGAGGAGGAAGCCCCGGCUAACUACGUGCCAGCAGCCGCGGUAAUACGUAGGGGGCUAGCGUUAUCCGGAAUUACUGGGCGUAAAGGGUGCGUAGGUGGUUUCUUAAGUCAGAGGUGAAAGGCUACGGCUCAACCGUAGUAAGCCUUUGAAACUGGGAAACUUGAGUACAGGAGAGGAGAGUGGAAUUCCUAGUGUAGCGGUGAAAUGCGUAGAUAUUAGGAGGAACACCAGUUGCGAAGGCGGCUCUCUGGACUGUAACUGACACUGAGGCACGAAAGCGUGGGGAGCAAACA